AUUUAAUAGUACGUAAUUAACUAACGCACUUAAGAUUUGAUUUGUAAAAAUUCUUCCAAUGACGAUACCUCUGGGGAAAGUGACCUACAAGAGUCCAGUCUGACCACGGGUUUUGAUUCGAAUGCUCCCGUUGGGGCCCAGGGCCCACUGACACAAAUGAUGGAGGAUGCCCUUUGUGAAUCUCUUUGGGAGGGCUGGGGGGUGGUGACAGAAGAGGAGCCUGCACUCACGGUGGCACCCAGCUUCAUCGAGUCUCUUUCUGGAUUGCAGAACUCGGGAGCAGGUUCAUACCUGGAGGUGAGAAUAUGGACGUAGGGCAAGAGAUGGGGUGCUGGUCAGUGUAUCCCAGAGCCCCCCUGAAUGGUGUCCUUCCUUCCCUAAACAUCGUAGCAAGUCUUCACUUAGUAGAUGCUGAGCUGGCACGUGACCAUGGAGGUGGUCAAAUCCUCUGGGGGCAGAGGGAAACCGGAAGCAGAUACUGGGACCCCCUUUUGGUCUGGAAGGGGACACGUACGUUUAUUUCUAAAGCAGCAGCUGUCCUAUGGAAUUCUCUGAGAAGCCAACCCGACGCAAGGAGGAGUGGAGGAAUUCCACGGGGUGAAAGGCAGGCAGACGGACCCGGGUUUGGAUCUCAGGCUUAGUCCUGAUCUGUCGUGCAGCUGUGGGAAAUCAAAUCGGUUAAUCCCGAGGCCGUCUUCUCCAAAUUUGCAAAACGCAGCCUCUAAUGUCCCCUUAUUGGGUCUCUGCGACGAUGCAAUAUUGCAUGUAAGUACAGGGCGUGGGGUCUGGCACUUUGAGGUGCUCAAUGCACAGGGAUGUCCCUAAGGCUUGGUGGGUCCUGGGAAAAGCCCCUCAAUCAACACUACCUUCCCCACGGCCCUGUGUCAAUGAGUGAAACUCCUGCCACCACUCAGUCCUAACAUUAUGCUGUUUGAAGGCUCCCGUUUAAACACAAACCGUACUCCGAGGGUUGGGUGGAGGGCCUUGGGGAAGGAACUGCGUUACCCAGCUGAAAAUACCUUUGAGCAGUUUAUCAGGAAAACCCUUCAGCUACUUAGCAGGGCCCGGCAAUUGGGCAAAGGGCCCACAAGUUGGGAAGAACGGUGUGAGAAGGGCCUUAGGGAAUGAGAGGAAAGAGUCCUUACCCCGAAGGGGUGAUGACUGGCCAGUGGCCUAGCUGCUGUGGGGCGAGGAAGGGCGUUGGAGUUCACCGCCAAGAAUAUGGCAGCCGUGAGGCGGGUGUUGCUUAAAAAAGGAGUUACCGAGUGUCCAAGAGGCUGUGAGUCUCAGGCACAUGUAUUUUCAAACACAGUUGUCGUCAGGUAAUAUGAUCACUGUAUUUUUAUACAAACUCUGAUACUUUUCCAAGGGAAGGACCUUUCAGUUUAGAACAAUGGGUCCUAAUGUCGAUCUGAAAAAAAGCACAAGAAGUAUACUACAGGUGUCAAAGAAUUCUGGAAAGUCAGAAGAAAGUUUAGUAUUCAACUGGGACAGGUGACAGUGGAGGGCACUUACUUUUAAUCUCGUGUGCAUCCAUGGGGAAAGGGCUCUUUCCUAACCUCCCCACGGUGCCUUGGGACUCCCAGAGAGUCACGUGGCAGAUGUCAUUGUCACAGAGCAUCGUGCUGGUUUUAUGUCAUCUUGAGCAUUCGGCGAGCCCUUUCUGUAUGCAAGGCACUGAGCUGGGAGCUAGGAGGGACACAGAACCGAGGAAAUGUAUCCCCGCCCCCCCAAGGAGAAACCCACUGCUCAGUCAGUGACCCCAUUUUGUUGGAAACUCCCUUGUCUUGUCUCUCCACUCCCCAGCUAGGGACGAGCAGCCUUAUUUUAGCCUCGUGACUUGCUUCCCCUGAGCAGAGUUGAUUUGGAACCAGACCCGAGGUGGGCCGAUCAAAUUCUCUAUUCCAGAAACUGGGGUGGAUUCGGAGAUACCAGUUUCUACUAGUCGCUUAAAUUUAAGACACAUAAAUUCGGGAAAUGAAGGAAUGGUACACUUAGCUGUGCACGUACAGAGAAGCAAAGGGCCUCAGUGGACGGAGAAAGAAAGGAAUAGGACAGGUUUGCAGAGCGAGGCAGGAAGGGGAGUCUGGUGGGGCGGGGGGUGUGUUUUGGGCACGGGGGAGGCAUGCACAGUACUCCUGACAGCCUCCAGCCCCUUCCCAGCAGGCUCUCCCCUGCUCUGCUGUCCUCCCUGGCUGUCAGUAUGGACCUCAUGUAACGACCACCCCGUCAACCGUGACUUUAACCAGGGUUUCUCAGAGCUUGGCCCUGUGGACACUUGGGGUGGGGGGCCGGGAACCGACGAUCGGGAGGGCUGUUCUGUGCCCCUCAGGAUGGGUAGCAGGAUCCCUGGCCUCGGCCCACUAAUACCCGUGGGCCCCUCUGUAGCUGUGACAACCGAAGUGGCUUCUCCACACAUCUCCACAGGUGGAGGCGGGAUGGUUUCCUCAUUGAGAACCACGGACUUCAAUAACUUAAAUAAGGAGAUGUUUAUUCUUCUCUGGCGACAGGGACUCUGUCCAGAGAUAGUGCCUCAAAGAAGCCCUCAGGGGCCUAGAUUCCCUCUGCUUUCGGGUUCCACGGGUCGCAGCUAUUGGCUUUUAUCGCCGGGCUGGCAAGAUGCCUCCUCUACCUUCUCUGUCACAUCCCUGCUCAGGAAGGAAGAGGGGGGAGGGGGGAGGGGUCCCAUGGCCACCUCGUGUCAAGGGAAGUGUGGAGAGAGAAGUAUUUUUAACAGGCCACGCUGGCACCUCAGUGAAAAUGGGGGUCCUGUCGCUAAGUGUUACGGGUCGAAUUGUGUCUCCCCACCCCCAAAUUCACGUAUUGAGUCCGAACCCCUGGUGCCCCAGAAUGAGACCUGAUUUGAAAACAGAGCCUUUGCAGAUGUAAGUAGUUAAAAGGGGGUCAUUAGCAUGGAUCCUUCAUCCAGUACAGCUGGUGCCCUUAUAAAAAGAGGAAAUUCGGGGGCACCCGGGUGGCUCAGUCGGAUGAGCGUCCGACUUUGACUCGGGUCACGAUCUCGCGGUUCGUGAGCUCGAGCCCCGCGACGGGCUCUGCGCUGUCAGCCCGUCAGCGCAGAGCCCGCUUCGGAUCCUCUGUCCCCUCCUCGCUGCCCCUCCCCUGCUGGUGCUCUCUCCCCAAAUAAAUAAAUAUGAAAAAUAAUUCUUUCAAAGGAGGGAAUGUGGACACAGACGUGUGCACAAGGGGAACACAUAUGAAGGUGGAGGCAGAGACCCGGGUGACAGGGCUCUGAGCCCAGGUGCUCCGGAGGUGCCAGCAGACCCCCCAGAGCCGGGAGGGGGGCCCAGAACAGCCGCUCCCUCACGCCAAGGAAGGAACCGACCCAGCCAGCACCUUGACCUUGGACUCAGGCCUCCAGAAGUAGGAGACCCCUACGCACUUUGCUACAGCAGCCCCAGGAAUCGAAACCAACACGCGUAGGAAGAAAAGGACAAGGACUAUGGGGCAGAUAACUGGCAAAGGCAACAAGAAGUUUCAUGGCCCAAAGCAGCGCUCUUAUAAUCGUUUCCUUUUCACGUUAAGCCCGAUGGAGUGGGUUUCCAGUGUCUGCGAUGCGGAGAUGCCCGAUGGGGACAGACCCUCGGCGAACCUGUGGUCUAAGGAAGCGCACGUGAUCCGUAUACUCAGGGCUAAAGGGCCACCAGGCAUGUUGGGGGUGGGGGGCGGGGAAGGGGCGGUGCGAGCGUUGUUCCAGGGCGUGAGAGACCGUUUCUGGCUGCACGGUCGGGGAAGGUCAGUCAGGGGAGCCAGGCCUUGGAGACGCAGGCCUUGGCCUCCCGGAGCUGGGGGAGCACAUUCCACAGGACACAAUGGGCCGGGGCGGCACACAAAGGGCCUGUGUGCAAAACUGAAGGCUGUUUCAUUUGGCCACGGAGUGGGAUGGCCCCCAGCAGAACAAUGCGUUGCAAGGGAAUAUGGGUUUCAACUCCCCGGCUGAAUUCUUGCCUCCAAGACCCAACGUGUGAGAGAGAAAGAGCUGGAAGUAUCCUUCUAUUUCGGCGAUUUCAUUUUUGAGCUGGUCCUUUGCCAAACUUUUGGCAAGAUGACUGGAUACUUUUUCUCUAUUUGUUUUCAACCCCUCUGACCUUUCUUUACAUCAAAAUGUCCAUGGGGCCUUGUGAAGCAGCAGCCCAGCCCCAAAGACUGACUCCAGGAAUAGUGCCGGAAAAAACCUUGGAGGGUUCUUUGCCCUUCUCCAGAAUAUCCUAUGGAGGGGACUGAGAAGUUUAACAGUGGAUUUUCAAAAGAAACAGGAUGAAAAGCCAGGAUGGCAUGACAGGUAUUCGGGUGAAGAUCCUUCACUCCUGCGUGGGACAUGUGCAUGUGCUCGACUCCCCCAACCCUUCACAGCUGGGUCUCCCUUCGAGACUGUUCAGGGCUUUGCGUUGGACCAGCCACUGAAACGAGAGCUCAGCUCCUUUGCCCCCGUUCUAUGGUCACAUAAAAAACAUUAGAAAACCUUGGAUGACACCAUAUCCUGGUUUCCUGGAGGACGUGCUCCUUCAGCAACUGUUACCAUAUGCACAAAACGAGACUCCAGGAGGACCCAGAACUGUGUUGUAGGGCGCGCCUGGGGAUGCACGUUGUGGGAGUUUUGUCGUGCCUGACAGAUGAGCAGGGAUGUCCUCGGCUUCCCGAAUUCUAUGGAUCAACCCCGAGAGGUUGAUACUCAUUCCGUGUGCUAAUUUCCUAUCGCUGCUUAGAACAAGGUGUCGCCAACUUAACCGCUUGACCAACAAGUCAACACAAAUUUGUUCUCUUAUCGGUCCGGAGGUCAGAACUCUAACACGGGUCCUGCAGUCAAGGUGUAGACAGGGCUGCAUUGCUUUUGGAAAUUCUGGGGAGAUCUUAUUUCCUUUCGUCCCCAGGUCCCAGAGACGCCCCAUUCCCUGAUUCGAGGGCUUCUCCUCCAUCUUCAAAACCAUUGUUCCAACUUCUGCUUCUCACCUUUUUGACUUUGACCUUCUUUCUCUCUCAUAAAGACCCUUGUGAUUAGAUUAGACCCACUGGUCUGACUGAUCCUGAUUCCCAGGAGAAUCAUCCCAUCUCAAGAUCCUUAACCUAAUCAUGCGGGCACAUUCCCUUUUGCUCUGUGAGGUGACGUAGUCAUAGGUUCAGGAGAUUAGGCCAUGGGCAUCUUUGGGGAUGGCGGUGUUCUGUAACCACAUACUGAGAAAGUUGUUGUUUUUUAACAAAUAAACUUUAGAAAUGUUGGGUUAUAUAAGUUAAAUAGGUUCAUUGCAGAACAUAUAUAUAUAUAUGUUCUGCAAAUAUAUAUAUAUAUGUUCUCCAAUAAAUAUAUAUAUAUAUAUAUUUAGAGAGAGAGCACAAGUGGGGGGAGGGACAGAGAGAGGGAGAGAGAGAAUAUCAAGCAGGCUCCACACUCAACACAGCACGCAACGUGGGGCUGGAACUCACACACUGCGAGAUCACAACCUGAGGCAAAAUCAAGAGUCAGACACUCAACCUACUGAGCUACCAGAACUUUCCUGCUUCUCAGUAUGCUAAUAUAUAUUAAUGGAACGGGAGAGAAAAAUUUACUAUGUAUAUUUCCCAAUCUUGUUGGACCCAAGAUCCCUCCCGGGGAAGCCAGUCCCCUUCCUGCCGUGUAACACUGAUCAAUGUUUCCGAAUACAGUGGGAACACCGUCUCAGGAGCACACGUUUCAGCCCAACAGGGAAGAGGGCCCGCACACUUGUAGCUUCACGUCUGACGGACGUGCUGGGGUGGCUUCAACAGAUUCCAGAUGGAGCUGGGCUCUUAGGUGUAGCGCCUUCUCCGCGGGCCACCGCAUGAUCCUGGGGGAAUGAGUGAACACUGGGGAAGGGCGCUUCCGCAUUUUGGGUCUGCAACUUCAUGUCAGAACUCUCUGGCUGGGAUUUACAGGACCUCGGCUCCAGCCGGAGGGUCCGGCCCAGUGAACAGCCAGGUCAGGAGGCAGGCCUCUCUCUCUCGCACCGGCCCCCCUCCCCAGUGCCACCCGGAACUCUGGGCUAGAAUCACAAACAGCUGCUUCCCAAAAACGUCCAAGAAAUUUCCCUCAACUCUGUAUAUUUCAGGAAGGUAGCACAGAGCCGGCUCUAGGCCAGUGGGCCAGGCAGCUCACCGAGUCACCCCCGGGAUGCCGGGCCUUGGGGUGGGGCAGCGGGGCAGGGUGGGCAGUGCUGAUGUUCACGGUGGGGCUAAUUGAUGGGGUUUACCCAGGGUGAUGGUAGUGCUGGGAGGCCAGUCCCCCACUUCCGGCAGUCAGGACGCGCCUUGACUCACUCCAUUAAACCUGCCUCUGGCCGGAGCCCGUCCCUGCCCUGCUACUGGGAGGUUUUCGUGCCGAGAAGCACAUUUCCCGAAACUGCGGCUGUCACCCUUUUCCCCGCCCAUCCCCUUCCAUGUUCUCUGCAAACCGAACCCCAGGCUGAGGAGGGCUCUUAGGCUGGGGCUGCUUCACUGUCAAGUACUUAUCAGCCUAUUUAUAGCUCCAGUUAAGGAUUCAGGUUCGGGAGUAUUCCAUUAAAAGACCACAUUAACGAGUCCUCAGAGAAAAUCUCUCACAAAGCUUUUGAGCUCAUAACCACUUGGCCGUGUUAUGAGCUUCUAGUGUGUUAACAUUCAUAAAAUAAAAUUGUUCCGGGUGCCGGCACUCCGGCAUUCCCAGGCCUCUACCCACCAGAAGCUUCUCCCUAGGUGCCGGCCCCGGGAUCGGCACGGAGGCUGCUUGGGCGCAGGCCUCCGUCACUGUCACUUGGGGCCCUUUCUGCCUAGCUGGGCUCCGGGUGCUGUCUGUGCUCAUGGGGUGAGCGUCCCUGAGAACCGUGUGCUGGCCUGCAGAAUCUGGCACCGUCCAGACCCGCAGGGAGGCUCUGGAAGGGGCUGCUGCAGGGGUGGGAGGCAGGAGGGAGGAGGGGGGAUAGCCCUGGCAAGAGGGAGGGGUGACAGGAGGGAGGAGAGGAGAGGGAGUCCUGGGAGGAGGGAGGGGUGAUAGCAGGGAGGAAAGAGGGGAGGCAGGGGGGAGGAGGGAGGGGAGUCCUUGGGGGAGGGAGGAGGGAUGGAAGGCAGGAGGGAGGAGGAAAGGGAGACAGGACAAAGAGGGAGGUCCUGGGAGGAGGGAGGGAAGAAAGGAGGGAAGGAGGGAGGGAAGGACGGAGGGAAGGACGGAGGGAGGGGACGAGGGAGGGGACAUAGGAGGGAGGAGGAAGGGGAGGCAGGAGAGAGGGGGAAGCCCUGGGAGGAGGGAGAGGACGAAGGAGGGGAGGCAGGAGGGAGUGGAGGAGGGAGGAGGGAGGGGAGAAGGGAGGGAAGAGGGAAGGUGUGGGGCCAGGAGGAGAGAGACUCUUUGUGCUGGAGUUCAAAUCGGAAGAAACAAGUUUUGGAAAAGCUUCCUGCUGUAUGACCUUAUCUGGAAAGUCAGCAUUUCGGGGUCUUUCUGAAGUUGGAGGGCACCAUUCGCUUGUUCUUGUUCUUGGUUCCUCAGCGUCCCCGGAGAAAAAGACUUCGGAGCGACAAACACUGUUAGGGUUUUGCGCUUUCUUUCUGCCCUUUCACCUCAAGCUUUCCAUCUCCAGCCUCAUGACAUCAGCCCUUAUUUUUAGGGAUGUUUUGAUGUGAUAUGUUUAACACGCUGCCGCGACCCAAGCAUUCGAACGGGUGGCCAGCGGGCACUUGAGCCGGUUCACGGUUGGCUGUCCUUCAUACUGGGGCCCAUCGGGGCUGGGACAUGGGAUCCUGGGCUGGACCCCAGGACUCCCGGAGGGUGGGGAGGGACAGGGGGGUGUGAGGCAGACUCGGGGGGUCCCACCAGCCUUGGAACCAGUCCGCUUUGUUCACCCAGGCGGCUGAGACCGUGUGACCGGCCACGGUCCCUGCAUUAUUGCUGGAGAUGCCCAGCGUGUUGCUGGCCACAUUGGCAUUCGGGGAGAAGUCCCAGAGGAGGUACGAAAAGCGCCUUGAGGCUUCUUGCACUUGAUUCUUAAGGUCUGAGUCUGUACUUUUGAGGCAGAAAUGGGCUGGCGGGAUGUUGACUGUGGCGAUACUGCGUAGCGCCUCAGAAACGGACUUAGAAAUGGACCAAGGAGGAUGAACUUGGCCGCACGUGACCCCCAUUAAUGGUCAAGGGCAGGGAAGAGAAGGGAAUGUUUCUGCCCAGAAAGAACCUCCAGUGAAGCAGCAACACACACACACACACACACACACACACACACACCCAGACACGUCUUGUCUGUGGUAACCACGGGGAGGAUCACGCCAUCUUCCUUUAAGAAGCUGCUAGCUCUUUCAUAACUGGACUCGGCCCUCCAGCCGAGGCCACGCUCUUCCUGAGCUGCCUUGAGUGAGGGAAGUCCAAGUGAUGAGGGCAUCUCUACCUGGUCCUCGCCCUCUAACGGGAACCACCUCUCUGGAGCUGGCGAAGACAGGGCCAGAUCUGGCCCGUGGUGUGGGCUCUCCUUGUUUAAUCCUGCUUCCUUCCCUUUCGCCUUUUACACACCUUUUCUGCAACAACUCUCUUGCCCUUUCUCCGUACCCGUGACUGCUUCCCAGAGGACCUGCCUGGUACGGGCCCGCAGAUAGGAAUGCGUUUGGAAAUCGCAGAGGACCGAAGUUACUUCCCAGGCCCAAACGUAUUGAUAAGGCGUCUGGAUCCUUUGUGGGACUCCAGGCCUAGCCUUGGGGUGGCAGGUGGGCCACGGGACAAAAAGCUGGGGAGGGGGUAAGGCGGGAGAGAACACCGUGCAGAGGCGCAGCUGAUUUCCCGGAGGAGGAGACCAGGAAAAGGUUCAGUGCGGCCCAAACGAACUGCUGAAUGUGAGCUGAAAAGUCAACCGCGGCGGAGCGCCUUCCUUCCCAUUGUCACAUAGACACUGCUCCAGUCGGGGUCCGGACACGCAGGGGCCGUCCUAUUUCCCAAUCUGACUUUGGGGAAGUAAGUCAACAUUUGCAGCCGCUGAGUUUGCUUGGAGCUCUGCCCGGGAGGACGAGCCCAGAGGGGAGAGCGGGCCCUCCCGAGGCGGGUCCCUGGGGGCUGGGCUGGUGCGGGUCCAGGACACCGCACGGGGUUUAAGGCCAAGGUGCAGACUUUAUUUGCGGUGACCCGAUACUUCCUCCUAUGGCUGACACGUGGGUAACUACUAAAGCAAGGGGAAGAAUUUCUUCUAUAUGGCAAACCAGUGUAUUUCAGUUCACACCCGAGAGCCUCGUUGACAGGUACUACCCUGUAUGGCUUAUAUCAGAAUGAGUUAUUAUGAAUAAAAUAGCUUUAAAGAUGCGACAGGACAGUCGGUACUUAAAGGACAUAUGACGGAUCUUUUUGGGAAGUAAAUUUCUGAAGGAGGCACCAAAACCCUGCUGUUCAAUGAACAACUGCUUUAUGGUCUGAACGGGAGCUUUGAUGCAGCAUAUUUUUUUAAAAAACCAGGAUGAUACACGUGUACUUGUAAAUUCUCAAAUGCCCCGGAUACUGCGUGCGCCCACCGUGGAUACUUUCCCAGGAGUGUAUUUGGGAGCGGCCCCAACUUCUCUGCAGCCACCAGCCUUUCAAGCCAUGAACGGGAACUCGCAGCCUUUAUUUUAACCCUGAGCAGGGACGAGGGUAAAGGAACAAGGCAUUUGAGGCUGGCCUGGCCCCGGCUGCAGUGUCCCUGUCUCUAGGUAGGCACAAGGAAGUGGCCCCUGCUCCCCAAGGGACUGUGGUUCCAGUUUUUCCCACCAGGCUCUUCCCUGUCCUCAUUCCUGGCCCCACACACAGAACCCGGGCCGAUCUGUCCAUCCAUCGGCCACGGUGGCCCAGAGCGGCUCAGGUCAUAACUUAACCGAUAUUUGUCCUUCCAGGUCCGGACAAAGGGGUGGCAGACAGACUUCACUUCCGCGUCACGUCCUUUCGAUUGCCGAUCUGCCUGGGCCACUGCGUGGAGGGAUUUUAAGGACAUUUCCAGGCUUAUAGGAAUCAGCUACCCCCAGCUGAUUGACCGUGGCAGCUGUAGGUGCUGGCGAGGAGCCCGAGAACACGUGUGUCAUU
rnacentral:lncRNA from 1 species